UAUAGAACUGUAGAGUCUGGGAGAUCAGUGAAGUGUGAGGAUUGUGCUGGCUAAGCAAGUGCACGUCUGAAUCGCUUUCUGGUCGACCUUUCUCUUUCUCUCUCACACUUGUGCACCUAUUGUAGGUCCUCGAAAGGGGAUCUAUGUUUUUCUACACACCCAUCGUAUGUCUACAGAAUGUUAUCAAAGGUCUUACCGAAAAGAGGGUCACUUUCAGUUCCCUCCUAAUAGAGAACUUGCGAAUUUUAUACAACUUUCAGCAAUGGAUCUCUUGGCUCUCGCAUCGAUGAAGAACGCAGCGAAAUGCGAUAAGUAAUGUGAAUUGCAGAAUUCAGUGAAUCAUCGAAUCUUUGAACGCACCUUGCGCCCCUUGGCUAUUCCGAAGGGCAUGCCUGUUUGAGUAUCAUGAACACCUCAACUCCCAUGGUUCGCCAUGGUGAGCUUGGACUUUGGGGGUUUUGCUGGCCCAUGGUCAGCUCCUCUCAAAUGAAUUAGCCUGCCAGUGUUUGGUGGCAUCACAGGUGUGAUAAAUAUCUACGCUUGCGAUUGCCCACCAUGUAACCUUCAGCAAUGGGGGUUCGCUGGGGCUCAUAGACGUCUCUCCCUAAGCGAGGACAGUUUUUUAACGUUCG
rnacentral:misc_RNA from 1 species